rnacentral:misc_RNA from 1 species
GACAACAACAAUUAUCCUCUAUUGAAUAAUAUUAAAUACAGCAUUCAUGCCCAAUAUAUUAAAUUAACAUUAAAUUUGGGGAUAAUUAAAUCUAGUGUUCCCUUAUAAUAUGAUAUAUGGGGACGACAAUAAUCACUUCCUCCGAGAAAAGGACAUUCAUUCUUAUAAAUUAGGACAAUAAUUGUUCCUUAUACAAUAGGGAUGAUUAUCCCUACAAUAAGAAGAUGACUUGAGUUCUCAUGUUAGGUGAUGAUAAUCGUCUCCAAAAAUGGGGACAACUAUUAUCCCUUAAUAUGGGAUGACUCUAGUCCCCAUAUUAGGUGACAAUAAUUGCCUUAAUAUAGGGAUGACUUUAGUCUCUUUGUUAGGUGACGAUAAUUUUCUCCAGAAAUAGGGAUGACUCUUGUCCUAAAAAUAGAGCGAUUUUCAUCCUUAAAAAUGGAGAUUACUCUCUAAAAUUGUCCUCUAAAGAAAUGAGACGCUCGCUAGGAGAACAACUAUUAGUAAUAAUUUUUGUCACGCCCUAAAGUUUAGGAGAUGAUUUUUAAGAUUUUAGGGAAUGAUUUUGAUGGUCUCUAAUCUAUUUUUUUAGUGAGUUUAUUAAUUAUUAUAAUUAAAUAUCUGAUAUAAAAAAUAUGCUUAAUCAAAAAGCUCGUCAAAAUCAAUUAGCAAAAGUCUAUUUCACAUUACCGUCACCGACUUGGAAAGCAUUUUUUGAUCUGCAGAAAUUUAAGUUUCAUUUCACAUUCAGAUUCAUAGUUAAAAAAGAACUCUAUAAAAAAUUAUCAUUUUCAAUAUUAAAAUAAUUUUAUUAAUAUUAAAAUAUAUUAAAUUAAAUUUCAAAUUAAUUUAAAA